AGCGAACGCUGGCGGCAGGCCUAACACAUGCAAGUCGAACGAACUCUUCGGAGUUAGUGGCGGACGGGUGAGUAACACGUGGGAACGUGCCCUUUGGUUCGGAAUAACUCAGUGAAACUUGUGCUAAUACCGAAUGGGCUCUUCGGGGGAAAGAUUUAUCGCCAUUUGAGCGGCCCGCGUCAGAUUAGCUAGUUGGUGAGGUAACGGCUCACCAAGGCGACGAUCAGUAGCUGGUGUGAGAGGAUGACCAGCCACACUGGGACUGAGACACGGCCCAGACUCCUACGGGAGGCAGCAGUGGGGAAUCUUGCGCAAUGGGCGAAAGCCUGACGCAGCCAUGCCGCGUGAAUGAUGAAGGUCUUAGGAUUGUAAAAUUCUUUCACCGGGGACGAUAAUGACGGUACCCGGAGAAGAAGCCCCGGCUAACUUCGUG
rnacentral:rRNA from 1 species